UACGGGGGGAGCAAGCGUUGUUCGGAUUUACUGGGCGUAAAGGGCGCGUAGGCGGCGCAACAAGUCAGCUGUGAAAUCUCCGGGCUUAACCCGGAGCGGCCAGCUGAUACUGUCGUGCUAGAGUGCGGAAGGGGCUACUGGAAUUCUCGGUGUAGCGGUGAAAUGCGUAGAUAUCGAGAGGAACACCUGUGGCGAAGGCGGUUCUCUGGGAAUGUCCUGACGCUGAGGAGCGAAAGUGUGGGGAGCGAACAGG
rnacentral:rRNA from 1 species